AGGGUUUGAUUUUCACCUCUGUGCCAGCCAACAGCAUCCUUACUGUUUUUCCACAGGCCAGGAACUGAGGCAGAGAGGCGGACAGCUUAUCCGGUUACACAGGAAGUGAGGAGCAAGGUCAGCAACCAAACCCAGGCAGUCUGUCCCCGAAACAAUUCCAGAAACAAUUCAGACAUGGCUACAUCGACAAAGUCAGGCCUCCCAGGGACAUCAACUGAACACGGCAUAAUAAGAUGCAACAAAACCAGACACAAACCCUCCUAUCCAGGCUGGGUGAGGCAACCCAGUAGGAGGAAGAGGGUCCCGAGAGCAGUCAGAGACACCCCCAUUUCCACUGUUGUGAAUCCCAUAAAAAUAGCAAGCUAACAACCAUAA